UUAAAAUUUUGUAAAGUUAGUAUUCUAAAAAUAGAAACUCCAUUCUUAGCUAGUAAUACCAUUUCAUUAACAAUGUUACGAUUGGAGGUUUGUAUCAUAGAUUAUGAUAAACACUUACGUAUAGUGUAUAGUUGACCAAAAAAAAAAGAAAAGAAAAAAAAACAAGUAUAUUUUAUAUGAUAAGUGAAAUCGCAAAAAAC
rnacentral:lncRNA from 1 species